UAUGUUUGAGCUGCUCAUACCAGUCCAGCAGUCAGCAUGAACACCAGCACUCAAAUACACCAGCAAACUGAUCCAACCAAUAACCAGCUUGGAAACAGUUCUGACUGCUCAUCUCUGGGGCCCAUGACAGACCCUUUAGAGCAGGCUGUGGAAGAUGGACCAUCACAGAAAACAGUGUUGAUGAGUUUCUGGUAGGUGCAGAGUUGGCUCCAGCCCAAUGCCUAUGGACUACAGAAGCCAGCGGAUCUGUUCAGCUGAGAAUGGAUGAACUCUGUCAAGAACAGCCUAUUACUGUCCAUCAGAUGUUUAUUGCCUCGAUUCAGAAGUUUGGGAAUCUGUCUGCUCUGGCAAUCAAAAGAGGAAACAAAUGGGAAAAAGUUUCAUUUUCAGAAUAUUAUCAGCUCUGUUAUAUAGCUGCUAAAAGCUUUCUCAAGGUGAUCUGGGUGACCAGUUUUUUUUCUUCAUAUACACUUACUGAGCACUUUAUUAGGAACAUCUGAACACCUGCAUAUUCAUGCAAUUAUCUAAUCAGCCAAUCAUGUGGCAGCAGUAAAUGUUCACAUCAACCAUCAGAAUGAGGGAAAAUGUGAUCUCAGUGAUUUCGACCAUGGCAUGAUUGUCAGACGGGCUGGUUUGAGUAUUUCUCAAAAAUAUAUAUAUAUAUAAAAAAAACUAGCUGCUGAUCUCCUGGGAUUUCCACACGCAACAGUCUCUAGAGUUUACUCAGGAUGGUGCCAAAAACAAAAAAAAUCCAGUGAGUAGCAGUUCUGCAGACGGAAAUGCCUUGUUGAUGAGAGAGGUCAACAGAGAAUGGCCUGACUGGUUCAAGCUGAAAGAAAGGCUAUGGUAACUCAGAUAACCACUCAGUUGUAGUGAGCAGAAUAGCAUCUCAGAAUGCACAACAUGUCAAACCUUGAGGCAGAUGGGCUACAACAGCAGAAGAACUAUAGUGUUCCUAAUAAAGUGUAUAGUGUAUAAUGGCAAGUCUUUUCAAUGUUAUAUCCACACUCUUCUCUUAGUUUGGUUUGGAGUGGUUCCACAGUGUAGCCAUCCUGGAAUUCAGCUGAGUGGUUUAUCUCGGCUGUUGGGUCCAACUUUGCAGCGUGAGAAACACAUUUCUAGGCUUUUCACACUUCGCUUAUAGGAAUAGUUUACUCAAAAAUACACAAUUCUCUUGUACAGUGAUCUGUGCAUGCAUCAAGUGCGAGGAAUUGUAAUCAAGCUUCAAUAAUGAUCACGCCUACACUGAAAAAAUUAUUUUGUGGUGUAAAUAUAGCCGAAAAGAUUAAAAACUUUCUACAUUGAAUAAGUUAGUUUAAGCGUGAACUUGAAAAUAUUAAGUGAAUUUUACAUUCAAACGUAAAAAUGUAUGCUCUAGCUUCAAAUGCUCUGAGUAAAUAUUAUUUAUGAUUGUUUGCUAUUUUAACAAUGUGUGAUCAUUGGAAAAUAUAGGAAACCAUUUUAUAUUUAUUUGCUAAUUUGAGUACAUUUCACUGAUCAAUAAAUGAGUAAAUUUAGUUAACUUAUUGAAUAAUUAAUAAGCUUGCAUGGUUUCACUGUUUGCAAGUUUAUUUAUACCAUUUUUAUUGUUAAUUUUGUUGUUUGGUAACUUCUUGUUUUGUGCAGUCUUAAGUUAAUUUUCUCCUCAAAAUUACUUGUUCAAGAUAAAAAAAUAAAAAAAACUAUCUGUUGAUUGUCACUGUCACUGUGGUUUGUGCACAAAGUGUUGAGGUCUGCGUCUGCAGCACUGAAUCAUGUAUCUAUCAUGAUUAAACAUAUGUUUGUAAGAAAAUUCAAAAUGUGG